GCUUACGGCCAUACCACCCUGAACAAACCCGAUCUCGUCUGAUCUCUGAAGCAAUCCAGGGUUGGGCCUGGUCAGUACCUGUCUGGGAGACCGCCUGGGAAUACCAGGUACUGUAAGCU
rnacentral:rRNA from 1 species